rnacentral:RNase_P_RNA from 1 species
CAGGUUGGUCGGGCAGUCGCGGUAUGGCUUUGGCUGUAUCGAGGAAAGUCCGCACUCCACAGAGCACGAUGCCGGAUAACGUCCGGGGCGGGGUAACCUGCCGGAUUGGGCCACAGAAACAAACCGCCGUUUCCCGGCUUCAGUCGGGAUAUGGUAAGGGUGAAAAGGUGGCUUAAGAGACCACCGGCGCGGGCAGUAAUGUCCGCGGCCAGGCAACCCCCAUCGGGAGCAAGGCCAAGCAGGCACGAGAGGCUGCUCGUCUCAUUUGAGUGCCGGGUAGGCUGCUUGAGGCGCAGGGUGACCUGUUGCCCAGAUAGAUGAUUGCCCAGGUUGGGCGACAGUGGGAUGAAGUCCUCGGAUGUAAACCAUUGUCCCCAAUCGGACAGAAUGCGGCUUAUAGACUGACCUGGGAU